rnacentral:rRNA from 1 species
AUGGUUAUCACAUUAUGGUCUAUAUGGUAUGCGAGGCGAAAGGCAAUACAUGAAGCAAUCUUUCAAAGUCCAUAUCAGGUUUUCUCUUUUGUCAACUCCUACAUAAAUCAACUUCCGAAAGCUGGGGCUAUUAAACCAGCGAGUGUACCUUCCAGUAAUUUGCAGCAACGUUGGAUACCUCCACCGAUCCACACCCAGAAAAUCAAUGUAGAUGGUGCUGUGGCCCGCCAUCGACGUGGAGGAGCAAUAGAUGCGAUUUGUCGAGACCACUCUGGAGCUUACUUGGGGUCGUCGGCGGUGGUGUUUCGAGGAGUAAAUGAUGUGGUGAUCCUGGAAUCUUAUGCAUGUAGGGAGGGGCUUGCACUUGCAGAGGACCUGUAUAUUCAUCAACUACUGAUAGCAUCAGACUGCCAGAAUGUAGUCAAGGACAUAAAUCAGGGCACGGGAGGACCACAUUCGGCAAUUGUUCAUGAAAUAGUAGCUUGUAGAACUAGCUUCAGUUUCUGUAAUUUCGUUCAUGAGCAUAGGAGUCAUAAUUUUGAGGCUCACAAUCUCGCCAAGUUUGCUUGUAAUCUUGGCUUAGGUAGACAUGUCUGGUUGGGGGUUCCUCAUGACCCAAACCGUGUAUCUAUGAACAUUACUAUACAAUAA